UAUAAAGAACUUACCAAACUCAACACCCUAAAAACAAAUAAUCCAGUGAAGACAUGGGCAAAAGACAUGAGUAGACACUUCUCCAAAGAAGAUAUCCAGGUGGCCAACCGGCACAUGAAAAAAUGCUCAACAUCACUCAUCGUCAGGGAAAUACAGAUCAAAACCACAAUGAGAUACUGCCCCAAACCUGUCAGAAUAGCUAAGAUUAACAACUCAGGCAACAACGGAUGUUGGCCAGGAUGUGGAGAAAGAGGAACCCUUUUGCACUGCUACUGGGAGUGCAAGCUCGUGCAGCCACUCUGGAAAACAGUGUGGAGGUUCCUCAAAAAAUUGAAAAUAGAGCUACCCUACAACCCAGCAAUUGCACUACUAGGCAUUUAUCCAAGGGAUACAGGUGUGCUGUUUCGAAGGGACACAUGUACCCCCAUGUUUACAGAAGCAGUAUCCACAAUAGCCAAAGUAUGGAAAGAGCCCAAAUGUCCAUCGAUGGAUGAAUGGAUACAGAAGAUGUGAUAUAUAUAUACAAUGGAGUAUUACUCGGCAUCAAAAAGAAUGAAAUCUUGCCAUUUGCAACUACGUGGAUGGAACUAGAGUGUGUU